UACGUAGGGUGCAAGCGUUGUCCGGAAUUAUUGGGCGUAAAGAGCUCGUAGGCGGUCUGUUGCGUCGGCUGUGAAAACCCGGGGCUCAACCCCGGGCCUGCAGCCGAUACGGGCAGACUAGAGUUCGGCAGGGGAGACUGGAAUUCCUGGUGUAGCGGUGAAAUGCGCAGAUAUCAGGAGGAACACCGGUGGCGAAGGCGGGUCUCUGGGCCGAUACUGACGCUGAGGCACGAAGGCCAGGGGAGCAAACGGG
rnacentral:rRNA from 1 species